AGUAUCAGAUAAAGCGCCGAUUGAAUGUGUGUAAGCGGGAAAGCAAUAAGAAACUGAUGUGAAGUAAAUAGAUGGUAGGUAUGGAGGAGACGAAGCGAUACAAUGAGUGCGUUUGCCAAACGAGUGACGAUAGUUGAAGUAGAAGGUUGUAAAAUGACAUUUCAACCGUUUCGGUGAUCAAAGCAAAUUGAUUAACGCGCCAAAAGUAGGCAAAAAAUACCAUUGGAAGUGCAAAGAAAUGUCAACGUCAAGUGCAACACUGCACCCAAGUGUCAAAUUUGAAGCUAAUAAGGACAAAUAUAAAUAGUACAAAUUUAUGUGGAGUGAUAUAGAAAAAAAAAAUAUGAAAACCUGAAUUUAACACGAGAGAGGGGGGAGAGAUCUAAACCGGGGCUCCCAUGCAUGGAACAACCAACUUAGAAGUUUCACUUCUACCGUGCUAGGUUCUACGUCACCGGAACAACAUCGAUUUAUACCCGACCAAGGACCGUCACUCCAGCAGCGUUCCCCAAACAUGCAUACCCAUUCCCCAAAUUAAUAGAAAUAUGUUAAAAAUUAUCUAAUUUGCAGGCAUGAAUGGGAUAUUUAGUUAUCUGCAACAUUUAAAUCUUCGUCGAGUUGUUUUCUUUUAAUGGAACUUAUGGCAAAUCCAGCUUUGAUUAUGCUUCUGGAUGCAUUCAGUAUAUGAAUAGUAGAAUAAAAUGAAAUUUAUUGCAGGUUAUGGCAUCUGUACCUUCUCUUAAGUGAAAUUUUUUGCAGGUUAUGGCAUAAGUAAGUAAAAACUUACAAGUAUUUUGUUUUUGCUUUUAGUAUUCAUAACGCCAAAAUCAGCUGGUUGCUUUCAUGGCAAAUUACUUCUAG